GCUCAAACCUUACGAUGUUGCUAACACGAGCCCUAGUAAGAGCCGUGUUUCGCAGAAUCUACCACCGGAUCGGAAACGCGACCCACUAAGAAGAUCCGGCGAGAUACUGAGUAGGCUGUAUCUGUGGAUGACAAUGUGUCUGUCGCAAGCGACGGGUUCGGGAGAACGAUGACGAGAACGAGACCAUAUACAUACAUAUAUUGUCCAUGACAAUUAAAAACAAUAACAUUUAGAAGCAUUAGCCUCAAUUUUGGGAGAAAGCAUUUACGUUGUCGCGUUUAUGGUCUCUGGUAAUCCAUAAGCAUCAGGUUGUUCGUGUAAUCACACAAAACGACCUUCUCUAAAAGUACAAUAACUUAAGCAUAAAACGAAUAACAAGUAUCGAAAAACAACAGUUAAAACAAUUAAAACUAAUUGGAGUAAAUCCUUAGCAUUCUCCGUGAGCGUUACCAGUGAUCAAGAAAACGCUACUCGGUAGAGAUUACAGCAUUUAACUCGGAUUUAAUAAGAAACAGGAGUGUGGUGUACACAGUGAAAGAUAUUCUAUGGAAUUAUAUAUAUAUAGAAAAAGCUAUAGACAUUUUUGAUUAAAAUUAGGCGAAUGUAAAUUUUACAUUAUUAGUGUUGCACUACAACACAUGUCAUCGAUGACCAGAUCUUGUUUAUAAGUAUACAUUAUAAGCACCUUUCUGUUUUCUCUGAAAUUAAGUGCUGACGUAUUGUUGACAGACUUAUUUGUUCCAUUUUUUAGGUCCAAAUAGAGAAUGUGAUAAAAUUCUUUUAAGUUUCUGGCUUUUAAGAGUGGAUCUUAAGAAUUACCUGGUCGACCUGUACACACUUGGUGACGCACCGUGGAGCUCGAGAUGAGGACUGCCGGCCUGACCUGGAGCGAUACUAAGGAGCAAGCGCAAGACAGAGUCAAGUGGAGACAAUUUGUGAGGGUCCUAUUUACCAUUGAGAAAUCGUCGCAGAUCGGAUCUGUGGGCGGAACUAGUGGAAAAAUUCACACGCCACCGGCGAAAUAUCGUGGCGGAUGCCGGUCGCCGUCGUCGACUGCUGACUACCGUCUCCGAGUUCAUACAGAAGGGCCACUCGAGUGUAGUGGACGGAUGUGUGGGCAGACGCGUUGGUGGUCCCAAGUUCAACACCGCAGCUACAAGUGGGCGAUUUGUAAGACUCACACGUGCGGUGAUUUCACACCGAUCCAUGUGAACUAGGUUAGCAAUGCCGAUAUUAGUAUCACCUUAGAUUUUUGCGGACUAGACGUGAUUACGUAUUUCCAACGUAACCGCUAAACUAUAGUAGUUGAAACGUCAGAACACAUAAAAACGUAGAGGUGGAUCAUAAUAAAUGUAACGUCGAUGUAGAUUACAGGAUAUUGAAACCUUCUAUAGAUUUAGUUAACGCCAACGGUUAUCGGGUCUCCGGCAUAUAUAGCCAGCCCAUUCAUUACCACUUCAGUUUACUAAUCCGCUGUGCUGUUUCGAUUACGUGUUCUUGAGUGGAGACCGCGAAUUGGCAAAAGUAGUCCAAGUAAUUCUGAAAAAAAAAAUUGAAAUUCUUUUGGCCUGAGACGAUCACUAACAAACAGCUGUAAAGGAUCACCAAUCAGACACCAAUGGAGAAAGAGAUCCUUGCGCAGAAGUGGCAUUGGAUUGCUCGCAUAUUAAGAAAGCCCGAUACCCACCUAUCCAAGAGAGCACUGACCUGGAAAGUGUCUGGCAAAAGGAAGAGAGGCCGUCUCAGAACAACUUGGCGUCGCCCGGUGGAGCAGGAGCUGGGCGUCUUGGGUAUGACGUGGGAGAAGCUAGAACAGACUGCCCAAGAGCGAUGUAAACGGGAGGAUUUUGUUCGUGCCCUACACCUUGGGUGGUAAGAGCUGGCUGAGAUUGGCCGAGGACCGAGAUUAGUGGCGGGCAAUUGGCGAGGCCUAUGUCUAGCUGUGGACUGCUACAGGCCGAUAAUGAUAAUUAACAAACACAUCGUACCAAAAGAUCUCCACUACCGGACCUGAGUCGCCCAAAUUUCGCCACAACCACCGAUUAUUGGAAGGAUUUGUACGACCUUCAUCGAAUUGCCAGUUCGUCUCAUAAAUGAGAUGAUAAUGUCUAAAGACACAAUAACAACUAAAACGUUUAAUUUAAAUAACUGUUUGUACCAAUUAAAGAGGAUAAAGUCACUGAAUAUUACUAAUAAUCAUUUCCAUUUACAGGACCGACAAAAACAAACAGCGAUUUAUAAUAAAUAGAGAGACAGACAAUAAACAAAUUAGUGCGAGUGAGAAAGCUAAUAAUCUAAUCAGAGUAGGUUUUAUGGUACCCCUUUUAAUUAAUUCUCUCGGCUCAAUGACCAUAACAUCGAAACGAUCUUGUAUGAAAUUUCAUUAUAAUUGUAAACUAGAAAUUUCAUUACAAGUAAAACAAAUGACAGUACGUUUCCAGAGAUUGUGACGAACCACCAGGCUAUGAGCCCCUUUUCACAGUGUUUCCUUGUCUCUAUAACAUUUCCUUACUCAGCGGUAGGUGUCGACUUGGCUGUGCCACUGGCGUUGCUGACGUCCGUGUGCGACAGUAACACAUACCAUCAGAUUGGCCCUAUGCACAUCUGCUAACAAAUACUUAAAAAAGCUCACAGCUGAGUAUUGGCACUCUACAAAAUACAUUCAGCUUAAUAGACACCAAUCUAUAUAACGCAUACGACAUGUAGUCACAAAAAUCGCAGCUUGCGACAAAGGCUCGACGAGUAAAUUAACCCACAGACACAAUCCACUGAAUUUCUCGCCGGAUCUUCUCAGUGGGUCGUGUUUCCGAUCCGGAGGUAGAUUCUGCGAAGCACGGCUCUUGCUAGGGUUCGUGUUAAGAACAACGUUAGAUUCGAGCCCAGCGAGCUCACCUACUAGUUCGGCAAAUCUAGAAUAACCCCACGAGGUUACUAAAAUAGGUAGAAAAAAAACUAGUUGGUAUAGAAGAAUCACUAUAAUAUGGGCCUUACUCAGACAGAACGCACAGAUAUUCUGUUAAGUACCUACCUAGUAUUGCAUCACGUUACGCAGGUACGUUGGCUCACAGCACUGGAUUUCCCGGUUUUGAUGCUGACAACAAAAACGCGUACUUAUGUGUAACACAUGUGCCUAAGUUACAUACUUGUGGCGGAUUAACUUUAUUUUGUUUACGUUGGGUAGUUGAUGCAUACACCGAUGACAAACAAGAAAUAUAUUCUCCAAUUGA